rnacentral:lncRNA from 1 species
GGAUGGUCUCCUGUUAUUAUCUGCUUGAGUGUAUUUUUUUUUUCAUUUUUUGCAAAUGCAAUAUUUGGUUUUGGCUUGUGGUUGCCCUGUUUUUUAAGUAUGCUAACCCCUUCCCAUAAAUGUGUGUUUUAGCCUGAUGGUCCUGUAAGUUCAAACACUUCAUUACUAUAUUAAAAUUAAGAAGAGAAACAUACAAACAAACAAAAAGGUUUAUUUAUUUCCUAACAUCACUUACCCGCAUUUUAUGGUUUUGACAACUCUUUUUUCUUUUUUUCUUUUUAAUUUUAUUUUGUUUGAAGCAUGUUCAUGAUUAAAUCUGUAUGCUGGCUUAUUUGAGUGACUGCUCUCUGAUUGUAGUUUCCUCAGUCCUAGUUCUUCCUCUUAUUCUUUUUCUUUUUUUUUCUUUUCUUUUUUCUUCCCUUUCCUUCCUUUCUUUUUGGUUUAGAGAAGCCCUUUCAAUAUUUCCUUUAACCUGGGUUUUGUGUUGCUGUAUUCUUUAAGUUUUUGUUUGUUGGGAAAAAUUUUUAUUUCCCCUUCUAUUUUAAAUGAUAUUCUUGCUGGAUAGAGUAUUCUAGGUUGCAUAUUUUUUCCUUUGAGCACUUUAAAUAUCUCUUGCCAUUCCCUCCUGGCCUGUAGUGUUUCUGUAGAGAAAUCAGCUGAUAUUCUUAUGGGGGUUCCCUUGUAGGUAACAUUCUGUUUUUCUCUUGCUGCCUUUAGGAUCCUCUCUUUAUCACUAACUUUUGCCAUUUUUAUUAUGAUGUGUCUUGGUGUGGGUCUGUUUGGGUUCAGUUUGUUUGGGGCCCUCUGUGCUUCUUGUAUCUUGAAUCCAGUAUCCUUUAGAUUUGGGAAGUUUCCAGCGAUAAUUUCUUCAAAUAUAUUUUCCAUUCCCUUAUCUUUUUCUACUCCUUCUGGAAUUCCUAUUAUGCGUAGAUUGGCCCGCUUUAUAUUAUCCCAUAGGUCUCUUAUAUUGCUUUCCAGUUUUUUGAUUCGGUUUUCUGUCUGUUGACCAGAUUGAGUGAUUUCCAUUAUUCUAUCUUCCAUAUCACUGAUUCGUUCUUCUGCAUUAUUCAUUCUGGUUUUUACUGCCCCUAGUUCAGUUUGCAUCUCUGCAAAUGAAUGUUCUAGUUUUUCUUGGCUCCUCCUUAUAUUUUCUAGUUCCUUUCUGAGGGUAUCUGCAUUACUGUUCAUAUCUUCUCUUAAUUCCUUCAGUAUUUUCACUAUUUCUCUUUUGAACUCCAGGUCUGUCUGACUGCAGAGAUCUGUUUCAUUGUUGACUGUUUUAGGUGAGUUCUCCUGUUGGUUUGACUGGGGGUGGUUUCUCAGCUUCUUCAUCUUGCUUGUUGUUUUCUUUCUCCUGAGGGAGUUGUACUCUCCGUUAUCGGGCAGUGUUUGCCUUGUCACUGCCGUGGAAUAUUUCCUGAGGGCUGGCGUUGUUGGUCAAUCUUUUUUGAGGCAGUGUGGCUUUUCUGGAGUGUUGAUGGGGCUAACAGUGUUUCUUUGAAGCAAAGGAGGACUUCCUGAGGGCAGACAGGACUGGGAGGUCCACACCACGAUGGUAGCAGAUUUCACUUGGUCAUGCAGAGCUUGCUCUGGUGUUUUUAGGCUGUGGGGUUCUUGCAGGGGGUUGGCGGUGUUGGGCAGCUGCUCCUCAGGGGUGCAUCACCCCCUGGGGGCUGGAGCAGCUAUCUGGGUCACUGAGAACCUAAGAGGCUCUUCCCUAGGGCAGCCCAACUCAGAAGGACAGCCUGAGAAUGUAGGCGGAUCUUUUCACAGUCUGGCCGAGCUUGUUGCAGCUUUUCUGGGCUGCAGGGGGUCCUGCCUGGAGCUGGCAGUCCUAUGCAGCUGAUCCACUAGGGCACCCCCUGGGGACUUGGGUGGGUAGCAGGGCCGUUGGAAACCCAAGAGCCUCCUCCCCGUGACAGCCCGACUCAGACAAACCAUCCGAGAAUUUGGCAGAUCUAUUCACGGCCUGGCUAGGCUUGUUGCAGCUUUUCUGGGCUGCAGGCCUUUUCUCGGGGGCUGGUGUAUCUGUUGUGACUUCUCCUUUUUCAUUUCUGAUUUGGUUUAUAUGGGUUUUUUUCUCUCCUCUUCUUGGUGAGUCUAGCCAGAGGUUUGUCAAUUUUGUUUACCUUUUCAAAGAACCAGCUCUUGGUUUUGUUGAUUUCUUCUAUUGUUUUUGGAUUCUCUAUUUUAUUGAUUUCCUCUUUGAUUUCCUUCCUUCUGCUGACUUUAGGUUUUGCUUGUUCUUUUUCUAAUGCAUUUAGCUGUUGGGUAAAGUUGUCGAUUUGAGAUUUUUCUUCUUUUUUAAGAAAGGGCUGUAUUGCUAUGAAUUUCCCUCUGAGCACUGCUUUUGCAGCAUCCCAUAGAUUUUGCAUGGAUGUGUCUUCAUUAUCAUUUGUCUCGAGGUAAUUUUUAAUUUCCUUCAUGAUUUCCUCAGUGAUCAAUUGGUUUUUUAGUAGCAAGUUGUUUAGUUUCCAUGUAGUAAUUUUUUCCUCAUUUCUUUUCCUUUGGUUUAUUUCUAAUUUCAUGCCAUUGUGGUCAGAGAAGAUACUUGAAAUAAUUUCUAUAUUCUUAAAUUUGUUGAGGUUAGCUUUGUGCCCCACUAUGUGAUCAAUUCUUAAGAAUGUUCCAUGUGCCCUUGAGAAGAAUGUAUAUUCUGAUUUUUUUGGAUGUAAUGUACCAAAAAUCUCAAUUAAGUCUAACUUUUCUAUUGUAUCCUUUAGGAUCUCUGUGGGCCUAUUGAUUUUCUGUCUAGAGGAUCUGUCCAUUGAUGUGAGUGGGGUGUUAAAGUCUCCUACCAUGAUUGUAUUCCCAUUGAUUUCUCCUUUUAUGUCUGUUAGUACUUGUUGUAGGUAUCUGGGUGCUCCUGUAUUAGGGCAUAUAUAUUGAUGAUUAUAAUAUCCUCUUUUUGAAUGGAUCCAUUAAAUAGUGUCCUUCUUUUUCUUUCUUUAUGGCCUUCAUUUUAAAGUCUAUUUUGUCUGAUAUGAGUAUUGCAACUCCUGCUUUCCUGUCUUGUCCAUAGGCAUGAAAUAUCUUUUCCCAUCCCCUCACAUUCAAUCUGUAUGUGUCCUUUGUCCUAUGGUGAGUUUCUUGUAGGCAGCAGAUUGAAGGUUUUUACUUUUUUGUCUACACAGCCACUCUGUGUCUUUUCAUUGGAGCAUUCAGUCCACUGACAUUUAAGGUGAUUAUUGAUAGAUAUGUAUUUAUUGCCAUUUUAAACUUUGUUUUCCAUUUGAUUCUAUGUUUCUUUUUUUUCUUUUUUGGGUUGUAUGGUUUCCAUUUAUUUCAUGCUUGCAUACUUUACUUUUCAGUUUUUGUGAAUGUAAUUUUCAGUUUUGAUUUGUGUUUGCCCCGUUUUUUUUUUUUUAAGCAUGUUAAGCCCUUAAUAUAUCUACUUUCUUUUGCCUGAUAGUCAUGUGGGAUCAGACACAUUCAUUAAAAUAAGAAAAAAGAAUCUAUAUUUUCUUACUUUCCUUCUGCACAUUGUAUGAUUUUGACAUCUUUUUCUUUUUUUAACGUGUUCAUGUUUAGAUCUGUAUCCUGGCUUAUUUAAGGGAUUGCUUUCCAAUUGUGGUUUCCUCCAUCCUAAUUCUUCUUUUUCUCUUCUCUCUUUCUCUCUCUUUUUUAAUUUAAAGAAGCCCUUUCAGUGUUUGUUUUAGAAUGGGUUUACUAUUGCUGUACUAUUUUAGCUUUUGUUUGCUGGAGAAAUUCUUUAUUUCCACUUCUAAUUUAAAUGAUAUUCUUGCUGGAUAGAGUAUUCUAGGUUGCAGUUUUUUUCCUUUCAGCACUUUAAAUAUAUCUUGCCACUUCCUUCUGGCCUAUAGUGUUUCUGUAGAGAAAUCAGCUGAUAGCCUUAUGGGGGUUCCCUUAUAAUUAAUUCUUUGUUUUUCUCCUGCUGCCUUUAGAAUCCUCUCUUUAACUUUUGCCAUUUUUAUUAUAAUAUGUCUUGGUGUGGGCCUGUUUGGGUUCAGCUUGUUUGGGACCCUCUGUGCUUCCUGUAUCUUGAUAUCUGUUUCCUUUAGAUUUGGAAAUUUUUCAGCCAUAAUGUCUUCAAAUAUAUUUUCAAUCCCCUUAUCUUUUUCUUCUCCUUCUGGAAUUCCUAUUAUGCAUAGAUUGGCCUGCUUUAUAUUAUCCCAUAGGUAUGUUAUAUUGCUUUCCUGUUUUUUCAUUUGGUUUUCUGUCUGUUGUCCUGAUUGGGUGAUUUAUAUUACUCAUCUCACUAAUUCAUUCCUCUGCAUUAUUCAUUCUGGUCUUUAACUUGGUUUGUUUCUCUGCAAAUGUAUUUUCUAGUUUUUCUUGGCUCCUCCUUAUAUUUUCUAGUUCCUUUCUGAGGGAAUCUGCAUUAUUGUUCAUAUCUUCUCUUAAUUCCUUCCGUAUUUUCACUAUCUCCCUUUUGAACUCAAAGUCUGUCAGACUGCAGAGGUCUGUUUCUUUAUUGACUGCUUUAGGUGAAUUCUCCUGUUCCUUUAACUGGGAGUGAUUUCUGUGCUUCUUCAUCUUGCUUGUGUUUUUCUUUUUCUGUGAUUUCCAGGAAGCCAAACUGUAGUCUUGUAAGGCUACUUGAUGCAAGAGCCUUUGUAUUUUUUUGGGGGGGUUACUAUUUAUUUUUGGUGUGGGUAUUUGAAUAUUUGCUCUCUCUUUCUUUGUUGUGAGCAUGCUGUUUUCCCAGGAUGCUCAGUGUGUUUUCAGGAAGAUGGAGGCAAUGGGUGGGGCCAGCAUUCAGUGCCUGGUUAUUGGGUUCUCAAUAGCAGCAAGGACCUGCAGGAAGGUGGCACAGGCUACUCCUAGUUGCAGGGCCCUGGGAAGUGGUAAUAAGCUCUAGGCAAAUCUUUAAGGUG